CCUACGGGUGGCUGCAGUGAGGAAUAUUGGUCAAUGGACGAGAGUCUGAACCAGCCAAGUAGCGUGAAGGAUGACUGCCCUAUGGGUUGUAAACUUCUUUUAUAUGGGAAUAAAAUGUUCCACGUGUGGGAUUUUGUAUGUACCAUAUGAAUAAUGAUCGGCUAACUCCGUGCCAGCAGCCGCGGUAAUCCGGAGGAUCCGGACUUUAUCCGGAUUUAUUGGUGUUAAAGGGAGCGUAGGUGGUUUGUUAAGUUAGUUGUGAAAGUUUGCGGCUCAACCGUAAAAUUGCAGUUGAAACUGGCAGUCUGGAGUACAGUAGAGGUGGUCGGAAUGCGUGGUGUAGCGGUGAAAUGCUUAGAUAUCACGAAGAACUCCGAUUGCGAAGGCAGCUCACUGGACUGCAACUGACACUGAGGCUCGAAAGUGUGGGUAUCAAACAGGAUUAGAUACCCCAGUAGUC
rnacentral:rRNA from 1 species